rnacentral:lncRNA from 10 species
AUGUUUUCAAGGACCCACAUUGCAAUUCCCUUAGCUGGAUAGGGGAUGCCAAACGGCAACCCAGAGCCCUGAUGAAUAGGGCACUUCCUACUAGAGAUUCAAAGAAUCUUUCUCACAAAAAGGAAAGAAACCAGAUUCUAUUAACCAAGUUGAGCCCUGACACUGAAGGGAUUUUUCUGUCUAUAAAGGUGAAGAAAAAGAAAGAAUAUUUUACCGAUUACUUUGUAAUAAUAACACAAGAUAGCAGCCAGCAGGUUAUCCCAUAGAGUUUGUGUAUCUGGACUGCUGCAGGCUUUUUAAUUUACUCAAAUAAUUUAAAUUUCAGUCCUAGUAAAUCUAAAAUUAGGUUUAUCAUUCAAAAGUUGCUGGAAUGAAUGUUUCCAUCAGCUAGUGAGAUCUUUGUUCUGGUGCAGGACAGCCCAGAGUAUUUGCUUCUGGUCACAAUGGACCAUCAAAGAAAAUGUCCAUGACCUACAAACAUUUUCUUGCAUGUGCAGACAAGAAUACUUGAAUUUCCAGAAUCCAAAGAUAAAGGAGUAAAACAAACAGCAAGGCACAUAAGCAUUUGCAUUUUUACACUAAAAUCUAUUUAUCUCUCUAUCCUUAACAAAUGGAAGUCAUCAGUUAGGAAGAAAAGAAUCCUAAAUAGCUAAGAACACUAAUAAAAUUGCAGAAUUUUGAAGAACAAAGAAAUGAUGAAUUAUGGACUCUUUUUGUCAUGAAUCACGGAUAAACUGCUAAAAAUUAAAUAAUUUCUUAGAGCUGUUUGUAAAAAUUUGGGGACAAAGCCUAAGAAGUAUUUAUUUAGAAACUUUAAACAGCUGGCCAACAGGCAUCACCUGAAUUUUAUUACUACAAUGUCAGUAGACAAAGCAACCAAACUGAGAAUAAAGGAGAAUCUGAUACACCAACAGAUGAUGAUUUUGGUGGAAAGCAAAAUGCAACAACAAAUGGAUAUUGUUAAAUUACUGGGAGAGGAAAUUUCCGAAGCAGAUCAUUUCACUAGUGGUUCA